GCUCAGGAUGAACGCUGGCGGCGUGCUUAACACAUGCAAGUCGAACGAAGCACCUUGAUUUGAUUCUUCGGAUGAAGAUCCUGGUGACUGAGUGGCGGACGGGUGAGUAACGCGUGGGUAACCUGCCUCAUACAGGGGGAUAACAGUUAGAAAUGACUGCUAAUACCGCAUAAGACCACAGCACCGCAUGGUGCAGGGGUAAAAACUCCGGUGGUAUGAGAUGGACCCGCGUCUGAUUAGGUAGUUGGUGGGGUAACGGCCUACUAAGCCGACGAUCAGUAGCCGACCUGAGAGGGUGACCGGCCACAUUGGGACUGAGACACGGCCCAAACUCCUACGGGAGGCAGCAGUA
rnacentral:rRNA from 1 species